rnacentral:rRNA from 1 species
GAUGAACGCUGACAGAAUGCUUAACACAUGCAAGUCUUUGGCGAAUCUGUGCUUGCACAGGCUAGCCAAGGCGGACGGGUGAGUAACGCGUAAAGAACUUGCCCUGCAGACAGGGAUAACAGACGGAAACGACUGAUAACACCUGAUACAGUUGCCGGCACGCAUGUGCCUGGCAAUGAAAAGAGAUGCUGCAGGAGAGCUUUGCGUCCUAUUAGCUUGUUGGUGAGGUGACGGCUCACCAAGGCGAUGAUAGGUAGCCGGCCUGAGAGGGUGAACGGCCACAAGGGGACUGAGAUACGGCCCCUACUCCUACGGGAGGCAGCAGUGGGGAAUAUUGGACAAUGGGGGCAACCCUGAUCCAGCAAUUCUGUGUGCACGAAGAAGGUUUUCGGAUUGUAAAGUGCUUUCAGCAGGGAAGAAGAAAGUGACGGUACCUGCAGAAGAAGCGACGGCUAAAUACGUG